AGCGGCGGACGGGUGAGUAACGCGUGGGUAACCUGCCUCAUACAGGGGGAUAACAGUUGGAAACGGCUGCUAAUACCGCAUAAGCGCACAGUACCGCAUGGUACCGUGUGAAAAAACUCCGGUGGUAUGAGAUGGACCCGCGUCUGAUUAGCUAGUUGGUGGGGUAACGGCCUACCAAGGCGACGAUCAGUAGCCGACCUGAGAGGGUGACCGGCCACAUUGGGACUGAGACACGGCCCAAACUCCUACGGGAGGCAGCAUG
rnacentral:rRNA from 1 species